GCUCUCUUCCCCCCCGGGAGGCUUCCCUCGGGCUGUCUCCGCCGGGAUGCGUUGGAGGCCCCGGUGGGAGAGGGGGAGCUGCUCUGAGGGUAGGUUGCGGAGGGGCUUUGUGUCGGGACGCUUCCAAACGGGGCGUGAAACUCCCUCCUGGCUGAAGAAGAGCGGUGGUGGCAAAGCGUUCCCGUCGAGGGAAGCGUUGGUAGCGAGAGUGAGUGUGUUUGUGUGUUCAGAAGGUGCUCAGUGCUUGGCAGUUUAAGACUUUUGACCGUGGAGUCGAUUAAAAGGUUUUAAAGCCUGCUCUGCCGUUAUUUUGACCUGGAAAGCAACGUAAUGUACUUGAGGCACGUAGCGGGGCAAGGGCUGCCUGUUGCCCUCUGCCCUGUUGGACUGCAUCCCUGCUGCCGGGGAGCGGGCUCUCCUGGAGCUAGAGUCAAUCAAUCCACGGGAACCGGGAGCUGUUGGAAGCAGUUGAAGAACUAACACACCAGAAGGAGAGAAGCAACGUGUCUGCCCCUUCCACUGGAGCCUUCCAUCAAGAGAGGGCAGGAGCCUUGGGAAGGAUGUGCUUCCAGACACAAGCCUGAGCUGCAGAAGGUGCAUUACAGAUGAAGUGCCAGUGAAAAGUUUUCUGUAAUGCUUCCUCCCACAGUUGGAGAAGAAGUCACAGUAAUAUGAAGGUUGCCAGUGAUGGAAGACAUUCAUCCACACCUUUAAAUAUGGCUUAAAUCAUGAAGAAAUACAGUUUAUUUUCUUUGUAUUUUGUUUUUAUAGUGUACCCUGAUGUAGUGUGCUUCUGUGGGACACAAGAGUGUGUGUCUUGACAGAGUGGGAUGAUGGUCAUUUUAUUACUGUUCUGAAGGCCUAAUUUUAUAUCACAUAACGUAGGUGUCUAGUCCUCCUUAGAGUCCAGAAUGGGUAGGAGUCUUGGACUGUGUCCUUUCCUGUACGUUACCAGCUUAUCUUUCCUUCUUCCAAAAAUACAUGGAUUUAGAGUAUUGGAUUACAUAAGUAUCCGGAGAAAUGCCUAAACUGCUACUGCUCUUGCCUUCUUAAAUUACAGUGAUUAAAACAUAUGGGUUUUACCUAAGUUUAUUUUAUAUAUAUAGCUUUCUGGCAGAUUUUGCUAUGGUGAAAUGUCUUGAAUAGACUUACAAAAACAACAGUCUUCUUCAAUUUUAAUAGUAAUAUCGUAUAUAGAAUUUGAGAGAAUGAUAGUUUUUGCCAGCUUACAUACUAAUUGUAUAUUUUCUAGUAUUCAGACCUGAUUAAUGCAUUUUCCUAUUUGCAAUGGACUAUUUUAGUUUUACGGAUUGGAUAGCUGUUGAUGCAUUAACAAGAAGGUGCAAAAUAUGCUGCAGGGCUGAUAUUUUAAGUCUUAAUUUAAGUCUUAACUUGGACUUCUGAUUUUGAUACUGUUUCUAACAUUCCUGAUGUUAGUCUUAGUUAAAGAAUUACAUGUAGCUCAUAGAGAACCAAAAUGAAAUUGCAGCUUUUUUAUUAACAAGCACUACGUGCUUCAAAGUGCGUGUCUUUACCACUGUGCUGAUCCCGCUGAGGUAUGAACUACUAAAGCCCUUAGCUACAGUAUAUCAGCUCUUCAGUUCACACAGCAGCAACUUGCUCCCUUCCCUCAGAAGCUCUGUCAUGUUGUAGGCAGGAUAAUUGACAGUCGUUGUGCUGGCAGUGUAUAAAAAUCACAUGGCUGGGCUACCACAGACUUCUGUGUUUUCAUAGCCAGGGAAAACAGAAAAAUUGUUCGUUUUCCUGAUCUUCUGUGCUACGGAAAAUGUUAGUCUGACAUAUGAAUGCAAUUAAUAAGUACCUGGUAGUGAGGGGAAAUACAGAUCUCCAAGAGAUAAGGGGUUUGUUAACUAGCCAUUUCUAAUUAUUGUAUUUGUAUAAAUAGCCUGCCAAGGAAUUCAGUCAAGCAAAAUACAUAAGAAAUGUCAGGAAUGAAAACUAACUUUGGCUGCUUGCGCUUGUAGAGGCUGGAAAAAGUUGCAGGGUGCAUGGCACAAGCGGUACUGCAGGAGCAGAUAUUGCUAGUGAUGCUUAUUUAGCUAACAUACUUGCAGAACUUUAAUUAAAAGAUUAAGGGACUCAAAGAAGUCUAUUUGCCUUGCUGUUUUAGCAUAGCACCAAUAAUAUGGCACUUCUGACAAUGAAAAUAUGGAGCUUCUGGGUAUAAACAUGGAGAUUCUGCUUGGGUUCUCAGACUUUUGUUCUUAAGGCAAAUGUAUAAAACUACAGAGGCUAAGGGAAAUGCUGCUGUCAACCUGCUUUAUGAAUGCUACUGGAGAGAAGGUUGAGUUUCCCAAGUAAUUCAUAGAUUUCUCAUAGCUGGAGAUUGCCAUGGGAACAUUGAAGUCAUUUAAUCUCUUCCUUGUAGAGUGCCACCCACUUCUGUGUUCCACCUGCCCUCAAAGGUCUUCCCCUUGCCCUUCUGUCUCUGCAGUAAACUUACAGAUGUGAAUUGCUUUCUGCACUGUAAUAUUCCUUGGGUACUAUUUUAUUGUUUUACUGUUGUUUGCUUAUUUUUUUACACUUUCUGCCUUUUCCUGCUAUUCCGUUCCUAUAAAUAAAGUGUGUUCUUCCUUGUCGUAACUGUACAUAUGUAAGCUCCAAAGAUGUCUUUACAGAUGCACUGGAGCAUAAGAUGAGACAAUGUACUUAAUUUCAAAUUCACAUGUUUCUUUAAACUUGGGAACUACAGAGACAUUUAAAAAAAACCAAACCAAACAACACACCAUUAAGAUUUUCAGGUCACAGGUUCUUCUUUUUAUUU